rnacentral:ncRNA from 2 species
UUAGCUUGACACCAUGAUGGUACAAUCGUAGGAUAAGGUGUCUGACGCCAAGGGAAAGGGGUAAAAGCCCCUGCGGUCCCGCCACUGUAAAGGCUGGGAAUCUACACCAAAGACACUGCAUGAUGCGGGAAGUCGUAGAUUCUGAGUAUGCCUAAGCCAGGAGACCUGACGCAGAUUUUUACGAAAA